UGAGGAAUAUUGGUCAAUGGACGCAAGUCUGAACCAGCCAAGUAGCGUGCAGGAUGACGGCCCUAUGGGUUGUAAACUGCUUUUAUAUGGGGAUAAAGUGGGGAACGUGUUCCCUUUUGCAGUUACAAUAGGAAUAGGGACCGGCUAAUUCCGUGCCAGCAGCCGCGGUAAUACGGAAGGUUCGGGCGUUAUCCGGAUUUAUUGGGUUUAAAGGGAGCGUAGGCCGUUUGGUAAGCGUGUUGUGAAAUGUAGGAGCUCAACUUCUAGAUUGCAGCGCGAACUGUCAGACUUGAGUGCGCACAACGUAGGCGGAAUUCAUGGUGUAGCGGUGAAAUGCUUAGAUAUCAUGAAGAACUCCGAUUGCGAAGGCAGCUUACGGGAGCGCAACUGACGCUGAAGCUCGAAGGUGCGGGUAUCGAACAGG
rnacentral:rRNA from 1 species